CCUACGGGAGGCAGCAGUGAGGAAUAUUGGUCAAUGGGCUUACGCCUGAACCAGCCAAGUCGCGUGAGGGACGACUGCCCUAUGGGUUGUAAACCUCUUUUGUCAGGGAGCAAAGCCCGCUACGUGUAGCCGGAUUGAGUGACCCUGACGAUAAAGAAACGUCGAACUCCGUGCCAGCAGCCAGGGUAAUACGGAGGUUGCGAGCGUGAUCCGGAUUGAUUGGGUUUAAGGGGUGCGUAGGCGGACUGUCAAGUCAGCGGUAAAAACACGGGGCUCAACCUAGCUCCGCCGUUGAAACUGGCGUUUUUGAGGGGGCGAGAAGGAUGCGGAAUGCGUGGUGUAGCGGGGAAAUG
rnacentral:rRNA from 1 species